CCCCUCUCAGGGUCAUACCUGGAGGAUUUGCAGUACUCUACCAGUCUUGACUAUGGGGGGGAGAGUCAAGCAGAGGCCUAUCCAUUCCAUUCCUAGCUUGGCCAGUGGCUAGCGAGUGGAAGGCAAUCUGCUAUAAGU
rnacentral:snoRNA from 1 species